CUUGCUCUGUGUCUCAAAGUGCAGACCCUAUGUACUUUGUGUCCCCAGCGUGAAUAAAAAGCCUGCAGGUCACAGAGCUUUAUCUUAUUGUGCCCCUGUUCUGUGGAACGAUCUCCCUGCAUCAAUAAAACAGAUUCUGUAAAGUCCAGACUGAAGA